ACCACACGAUUCCUAGCGUCUCCCCCAAAUCGAAUCGCCCCUGGCGGCGGCCGACGCAUUCCUUGCGGUGGCGGCGGCGGCCUGACUCGUUUUUUUUCGUCGGAGCGGACGACGGAAGGCGGAGGGCGCGUCGGAGAGCAGCCUCUUCCCGGCAGCGGCGAUGGCGGGCUUGUUCCUCGCUGCGGCAGCGACAGGCUUGUUCCUCUUGGCGGCAGCGGCGGGCUUGUCCCUUGCGGCGGUGGUGGCGGGGCAUCUGCGUGAGGGAAGGGAAGCAGCUGCAGCAACGGCCGCGUGGGCAAAGAGAAGCAGCUUCGGUAGCAGAGGGGCGCAAGGUCUGCUGCCGCAACAGAUGCCUAGGGUUCCACCUUCUCCGACCCCAACCAGCUCUGCCGCAGCCAGCGAGAUCUCGCUCUCAUCGUCAACACCAGCAAAGGCCAACCUGUGCUUGGUAAGGCAUAUGGUUACAUCAGAGGUCGGGGUCAUGGACCAAAACCAAAUAGAAGGGCCUACUCAAGCGCAUCAAGCUCAACUCAGCAUGUAGUGGAAGAAUUGGCCUCUACAAAGGAGAUUGUUGCUACGCAACAAGCUCAAAUUGAGGCUCAACAAUCUCAACUUGAAGCUCAACAGAAGAAGAUCGAUUGGCUACAGAGUGUCGUGUCUAACUUGGUUGGCAUUUCACCUCCUAUGACGGCACUAGUGCAACAGGGCUAGGUUUCACAACUGAGCGGCCAAUGCCAUCUGACGGAAUAGGUUCGCUAAUGUCUAACACUGUACAAAGGAUGUCAAGUUAUCCAAGAUCAUUUGCAAGUCAUUUGAGACCAGGAUAUAGACCUGCUCCAACUUCUUCUGAUGGAAAUGGUAUGAUCAGUUUGCCUCUGCUUCAAACAAUCAAUAUACUAUGUGAUUUGGCAAAUUUCUUCAUGAUCUUAAUCUUGAUGGUCCAAAUUUAUGAAUCACAUGCUCUCUAGUGUCGGAUAGAGGGUCCAGGUAUUCUUAGAAAUGGAUUGCUAGAACUCAAUUUCACCUGUAUGAAUUGCAAAACGUCUUAUAUUAAUGAACAGAGGUUGUACUACAAAGUACAACACUUGUAUGAUAAUUAGAGAAGGGGGGAAAUAGUACAAGAAAGGUGCAUCAUUAAUUCAUUAUCAAAGUAUUUCUUCCAGUUAAACCAUAAUCUCGGGUGCACAGAACAGAGCAGUAAAAGGCCUUGCAACUCUGUUUUGGGAGUUUAUGUUCCUCAGCAAUCAAUUAAGAAACUCCAGAUAAGAUAAGAUUGAUGGAAGACCGAGUCCUGUAGCAAAGAGAAAACCAGUAGCGAACGGCAAGUGGAUGAUUUUCGAGGAUCCUUUAUAGAUUUAUUGUGUUCUCGGUCGUGGCUGAUUGUAGAUUUUUGGGUGAAACUUUGGCUGCUGACAUGAUGGUAUUGUGGUUUAGAGACACCACGCCAUUGUGUCUAGCGUUAGCUACAGCAUAUUCUGUGAUUGUCAACAUUCAAAAAUCAGCUUUCAUAGUUAACUGAUGGUAGAAGUUAAGAGCACAUUUUCUUUCAGAUUUGGUUUAGUUCCAGGUUUAAGAAGCGUGUGUUAUUGCAUCCUUUCCUGUAAUAAUGGGGUAAUUCGAUUAUGUUCUCCUCUAGAUUGACCCAAGUAAGUCUGAGUUCAGUAGCGAAGAGAAACAAACAAAUGGAUACUUUCUUUUUGCGGGUAGAAACAAAUAGAUUCUGCUAGGUUUGUUUUGGAUUGUGCCAUUGGAUAAAACUUUGGCUGCUGAAAUGGUACUGUAACCUAAAGACUCCAUGCCACGCCAUCAUAUUGAACUUCUCUGAAGCACUCUGCUCCUGUAUUUGUUGUCUGUGUAUGUUCUACACAUUUUAUAAUUACAAGUAUGGAUAGGUUGCCUAUGGCAUGCUUGCACUCUUUCUGAUGUUUGUCAUGCCUGACGUUGUCAAUGAAAUAACAUGUGCUCUGGCCACCAUUAUAUAGGAGAUGACCUUGGAGGAGCAGCAGAAAGCAAUACUCGCGCUAAAGACUGAGGAGAGAAAACUAUUGCCUCUGCAUUUCUUGCACAUCUAGUAGACUAUGUUGGAUCUAAAUAAAAACAAAAUUCAGUGUACAAAUGCUAAAUGUAAUGUUUGGAUCAUAUUGGGGUGUACUGAUUGGAUCAUAUGUUCAGAUCAGUACUAAACAUGGUACUGUACUUUGCAAAUGCUAGAGUGGUAUUUCCUACUUGCGAAACAAAAUUCAGUUUAGCAUGUAAUGUUUGGAUCAUAAGUUUACAAAUGUUGAUUCUGAACUUCUUAUUGUCAAAUGUCUAAAAUUCCGAGAUUUCUUGCAUACUGCAAUUGUCAGCGUGUGACAAUAUAUUGUACCUAUGAUAUAGUUGCUUUCUCAUGCCUGUAGUUACCAAGGUUUACAAUUUUUGGAUUACAAAAGAAGUCUAGUCUCCAACAUGUAGCUGCUCUCUAUAUUCUUUUAGUCACCAAGCCUUGGCUGGUCACUAGAUAUCUCUAGCCACUAACCAUGUACAUGGUGGCUGUACAUUUUUAGCAACCAAGUCGUCCAUGG